ACGGUGGAUGCCUAGGCAGUUAGAGGCGAUGAAGGACGUGUAAGUCUGCGAUAAGCGUUGGUAAGCUGACAAAAAGCGUGAUAACCAACGAUUUCCGAAUGGGGAAACCCAGGUCAUUUAUGACCUAUCAUUAUCUGAAUUCAUAGGGUAAUGAAGCAAACGAGGGGAACUGAAACAUCUAAGUACCCUUAGGAAGAGAAAUCAAACGAGAUUCCCCUAGUAGCGGCGAGCGAACGGGGAACAGCCGAAUCAUAUUGAGUUAACAGAAUGUGCUGGGAAGCACAACGAUACAGGGUGAUAGUCCCGUAUGUGAAGAUUCAAUAUGGUCAUAUUAAGUAGGUCGGGACACGUGUUAUCCUGACUGAAGAUG
rnacentral:rRNA from 15 species